AUGGCCCGUCAUCUGGGCAUGUGGCCUGCCGUGGAAGCCUGCUCGGCUCUCAUGAAAGAGCAGGAACAGCGACUCUAUCCUGGCAAGGGCUUUACCUCAGCUUGUGCAGGUGCAUGUCAUGAGCGUCACUGCCAGCGGAGGGAAAUCAAAAGGAAAAGGGUUUUGGGAUUAGAGCACAGUAUAACCAACAGUUUCAGUGUAUCGCUGGAUACAUCAGAUGAGUCUUUAGAAGGAAGUCCAAGACGCAAUUUGCGCAGGACGCCGAAACCCCAAGGCCAUAAUGGCCUCCCUCUGAGUCCCUCACACAGGAUGAAGCUCAUGGACUUCAAAUCUCCCUCUUCAAAGAAAGCUACUGCAUCUCGACACGCCAUGGCUACCCCACAGUCACAGAAUUACUCGCCCAUAACACCAUCAAACACCCGUCUUCUCCGCUCCACUCCUGGUGCUGCCAAGGAGGUUCAGAGAUUGCUUCCCAAGCUAGAGACCCCUCGGAGAAACAAAAAACCUCACUCUGUCACCCGGCUCUCGUGCAACUCCAGAUUGAGGCCUAGCGCUGUGUGUAGCCCUGUGAGAGUGAAGCAAGAAGUUGAGGAAGUUGGAGAGGAUGAGGAAGAUUAUGCGAGAGCACAGGAGAAGUACAAGCUGAUGAAUGUUCUUGGGUUACAGAGGACCGCCCUCCUCCCCAGACCAGAAGAUUUGAUCGGCUGGAGACAAAAGAAACGACUGAGGAAGCUGAAGGCCAACAACUAUUCCUUGACCAAGCGGCGGAAACCACGUUCCACUUCUCCAGGGCUACCAUUUACUGAUGUGACACUGUCACUUCCCCUCUGUAACCCUGUUAACACUCGUCUCCUCAACAAGUCGGUAAAGACCAAGCCUCUGGGUCCAGUCAGCAAGGAGCAGAUGAAAACAAAGAGGCCAAAGACUGUCCCGCGACAUGUCCCUCCAAGUGACAGGAGCAUGCGAAGUCAAGGUGUGUUACCAGACAUAUUUGCACCAUCCUUCGGGGGGAGGGAACUGAGGCGGUCAGUGAGGAAGGGUGACCGUGCCCAUCAUCCUGUCCAGCAGGCUCUACGACACAACACCAACAAAUCUCUGAUGAGAAACAGAGUCCGGAUCAAAUCAGAACCAGCUGAAUACUCUAUCUCAGGUCUCCCUCUUCCAUCAAACAAUCACCACGGCCACACACCCCACGAUUCAGCACCCUCAGAGUGGACACAGACCAAAAACAAAGCCACUAUAGAGGCGGUCAAAGCGCUGCGUUACAACAGCAGCCGACCAGCAACAAAGGGCAAGCUUAGGCGGGGCUCCACAAGAGAGGUGGAGAAGACAAAGUGUAAGCCCAGAGAGGUGGAGAAGACAAAGUGUAAGCCCAGAGAGGAGGGGAGGAAGGUGGGAACCCAGGGGGUCAGGGGGGUCAUGGACACUAAACCGAGAGUGAAGGUUAAUGAACCUGGUGGGCUCCAGUUCUCAGAGCAGGCACCUCCUCAGUCUAUCUACAACCACCCUCUGUACAAAGUCAUCAAAGAGGAGCCAGCAGAACCUGUGCCAGUCGGACAGUUCUCUGAUCCUCCCUCACCAGACCUGGGCAAGCGCCAGAGCAAGCCCCCCAUCAAAUUACUGGACUCAGGCUUUCUGUUCAGCUUUUGUCGGCCAGCAGGGGGUGCGAUGGCGGCACUGAAGAAAGAGGAGGAGAGCGUGGAUAUCUGCUUAACACGCUCUGUGUCACAAGUUGGGGAGAAAUUUGGAACGGAGGAGUCCCCCCACAGGGCCCUGAGAGCCAGAGGGACACCCACCCUGCCUGUAGUGAAGAGGGAGAGGGAGGAGAGGAGCGUGAGCCAAAGCAAGGUUCAGAGACUAAGGUCAAACUCCCGAAACAACACUCUUCACCUGGCCAAAUCUGCAGGUUCAAAAGCCCCAAGGACUGUGCCAAAGCAGCAAGUUAGACGCCCUCUGAGCACCAGGAGCUGUGUCAUGCAGGAUGCUGUACGACGUGCAAGGCUAAAGCAGCUUCGAGGGCCUCGUAGUCAAGCUCCCAAAGUCCCAAAGGCGGCCCAUGCCUGUCUUCAGUGCCCAGCCUCCUACAAGGACUGUGAUGCUCUAAUCAUGCAUCGCCUCAGGCACAUCGAGGGCAAGCACUGGCCAUGUCUGGUAAGCCCUGGCUUCCUCAAACCUUAACAAUCCAGAACCACAUGACUCUAAGGGAUAGAAAAUUAUGACCCAGAGCACCGAAACACUGCACAUUUUAUUCCCGCUAUGCAGUAAACUAUGUGAUUUAGAGUGAAAUACAGUUGUGUAGUGAGAUACACGAUUGGUUGUUUAAAAAAAAAAAAGGAGCAGACUUUUAUAACACAUGGUUGCCAACUCAUGGUCCUAGGCACUGUGGUGCAGUAGUGUAAAAUAAUGAACAUGAAUUACCAUUAUGAAGUACUUGGCUUCUCCAUUUAAUGCCACUUUACGCUUGGAUAUAUUGUACUUUGUUAUACUUUAUACAGAUUAAGCCAACAAGACAACUGGUAGUUGAAUUCUUUCAGACAGAAAUGCACUAACUCUGUCUCCAGCCUUUAUGCUAAGCAAAGCUAACCAGCCACUGGCAGUAGCUUCAUAUUUGUCGUACAAACUUCAGAUGGUCAUUGAGCUUCUCACCUAAGUCUCAUCAAGAAAGACAUGCUCUCAAAAUGUCAAACUAUUCCUUUUUAAAGGGAGACUUAGAACCUGUUUUGUAUUAUUAUAAUGUGGGUAGUAUAUGCAAAGGAGCAUGUUACCUGCACUCAGAGCUCCCCGCUUAUUUCCGCAACAUCUGGCAGACUUUUGCCCGUUCCAGGUGUGUUGUUCAAACUACAGGUUGUACUUCUACGUUUUUACAUGCCUGCCUCCUCAGACAGUCUGAUUGAAAGAGGGGUUUUAUAAAAAAGUGAUUCCCCCAACACCCUGUUCUCACUAGGCUACUACCUUAAUGUAAAGAGUCAUUUCUUAUUACUUCCUAUGAUAAGCAAGCAUACUACAUCACAGAAAGUGCUGGGAAUAUUUAAGUUCUCAUCUUGUUUUAUUUCAGACCAUAAUAAACACAUGGCUCAAACUUACAAAACAUUGAUGAGUCAAACAAGUUCUGUAGCUUUACAAAGGGAAUAUGCUACAACUUCUGUAAAAAUGAAUAAAUAAAAUAUAAAAAAAUAAAAUGUGUGCUUCCUGUUUAACAGAGGUAGCUAUACAAAACAGACAUCUUCUGUUAAAAUAAGUGCUUCCAAUGCACAAAGUGCAAUCUCUUACUGUAACGUAAAUUUACAUACUACUAAUGUACUUACAACUGUAAGGUUUUUGAAACAAGUAUGAUUUAACCCACUGGUAACAAAAAAGUGCAAUCUUACAACUGUAAAGUUGCACUCCUGAAUGAAACUACAACAGUCCACUGUGAAAAUGAAAACUAUAACUAUAUAAUUACAUCACUUCAUAACGUUCCCAUGGCAACAGGGGAAAAUGGCUGCUCUUGUGUGAAGUAAACGCAACAUUUUUCAACUUUCUGUUAAGAUAUGUGACUUUUUUGCAACGAAAAUGCGGGGAUUAUGAAAUCAUGCAAGCCCCGCAUAUUUUGCGCAGAAAUCGGCAAUUUAUGUGGCAAAAGUGCGGCAUAUUUGAAAAAAUGCGGCCCCCGCAUAAAUAUGCAGACUUUGGCUGAUUAUGCCUUUAAUUAUGCGAUCGCAUAAUUGCGUUUUUCUGGAGGGACUGAUAAAGAUUCUGUAACUAGUCUAUUUCUUGCCUCAAAUGUUUUCAGAAACAUAUUUUAGUGUUCUGUUUCUGCUGUAAUACAAGAAAGUUUGUGACCAGACCGCCCAUUUUUUCCUGCUUGAAAAUGUGUUUUAGGUUUUCUACCUUUUAUGAGCAAGAGGCAUUCUUAAUUUGUGUCUUUCUACUGCAUAGACAACAAAGUUUUAUGGAAAGACAAUUUUUUCAGCUGUGAAAUCAUAUUUCCUCAUCCGUUGCUAUGGUGUCUCAUAGGGAUGUCACGAGAACCGAUACUUCAGUACCAAGCAGUCUUAAGACAUGACAGUACUGUUUAAUGUCACAACUGCGCAAGUGUUUGUACUCACAAAGCUUUCGUGCCCAGUACAACUCGUCGUCCACUCUCAACACUGUCUCUCCACUCGGCUGUGCUGUGUGCGUGUGUGCAGAAGUUCAACCCCACCCACCGCGGGGGGUACCUGAGCUGCUGUUUGGUGGAGAGAGACGGACAGCAGUGGAGAACACAUCACUGCAAGUGAGACAAAAGCCAAAAAGAGUAAUUUAAUAAUCUAAUCUGCACAAAAGAUGCACGGACGAGGAAAAUAAACGCUCAGCACAAUACAGUUCAUUCAGGUAACUCAGGCAAAGGCUGCACUGAAGUAACAAACACUGCAGGACACUAGGAUUACAGAGCGGAUUGUUAAGCUAUUUUAUAGCAAAGCUUGUUAUUUAGUGAAGUAUAAAAAAACAUUAAGGAACAACUUGGAUGCAGGCAUUUUUUUCUUAAUGCAGUGAAGACCUUUUCACCUGUAUUAUCAAGUAUUGGAUGAGGACUCUGUAUCAAUAGAUACACUCAAUAUUAAAUGGGGAUCCAUGGCAAACAUUUUUACUGUUGUAUCAAAUCUUUACAGAGUAUCAUGGAAUUUCACUGGUAUUUGUAUUUACUACAAAUUUUCUGGUAUUGUGACAUCCCUAGUGUCUCAUUUGUAGGGUUGGGGUCAAUCACAAAGCUUCUCCGUUGUCCUCUUCUGUUCAUUCCUGUGCCAUUGACCCUUUGUCUUACCCUCUCUGCUGUGUAGCUCUGCAGCAAGACGUUCUUUCGUCUGAGGAAUGUACGGAACCACAUCCGCACCCACGACCCCAAGUUGUACAAAUGCCGGAGCUGCAUUGUUGCCGGUUCCUGAGGCAGCUGGAGGGUCUGCUCUAGCAGCGAGACUGAGGUGGGUGAAAGUGACACCUUUCAAGGCUGAGCUACACUUAACCAAAUAGCUGAGAUGCUUCAUUCUUGGUUUGCACAUCUGUUAUCUUGUGCGACGCUGUCUGCAAGUGAAGCUCCAUUUGUUGAGGGCGUGCAGAUGAUUCUUCUCACUCUUCAGACUUGUUGCAGAAGCUGUCAAUACACCCCUGUGCAUUGUGAUCAACAUCCACAUUGAUUUUCUUUGGAGUACCUCUUCUGUUCCUUAACACUCGUGUUUAUUUUCCAGGAUGAAGGCUGUCAGUGUCUGACACCAGCGAACAGACUGAAGCCAGAGGCACAUGAUCGAUCAGCAGCUUGUACAUAAUGCAUCUGUCACACACAAGCACAACGGUCUGUGGAAAGGCAUAAUUACUCUAUUUCUAAUCAUUGCUGUUGUCAAUGAUUGCUAAUGUUAUUUAAAUAACCAAACCAAGGUUGCUGGUCCUGUUUGCUUUUCCGUAGCUACAGAAGGUUAAACUUGAACAUUACACUCAGGGGGCGGGGAAUGUGAUGCCACGGUAUAAAGUGAUUUAACGUCACAGUUGUGUAUAAAAUGAAAUGUAAAGUGAUUGUUAUAACUAUUACUGCUACUUAUUGUUAUCAUUAUUUUUCUAUGUAUAGAUGAAUUUUGAGUGCACUUAUAUCAUGGCUUAUGUUGUAAACCUAAGAAGUGGUAAUGAAAUUGAAGGUUUCCACGGAGGGAAUACUUGAAGUGAUGCGAGUGCUGGAGGGAAUACUUGAAGUUAGAGGGAGUCUUAGGAGUGAGACUGUCCUUUUUGGGUGUUUCAGUGGGUCUUUGUCCUUUGGUGUGCUAACUUGACUAGUUUGCCCCUCCUUUCGUAUUGAUCUGCUCGUCUCUCAUAGCCCAUGAGUCGGGAUUUGACAAUGGGCUUUUAUGGUGACACCACUGCAUGUGUAUUUGCAGGCUGUUUGUAGUCCACUGUCUUUUCUAAGGCUGCCAAUUUUAAAAAGGGAAACGUGUCUGGUUUUUAAUGUGAAUUUCUCAAUAUUAAUCAACACAACUGUGUCAUUACAGAUGUUUUAUUGAUCUCUUCUUCCACUUCAAUCCAAGACACUCGUCUUGUUCUACUUCAAAUUCCCCUCCUACUGAGUCAAUGCAAUGUGUUCACAUGAAGAGAUGUUUAUGUUUCACAAAUUGAUUUUAGAAAUAAAUGAGCUGUCUCUUGCUAUCUGUUAAAAGACUGAAUAAAUUUUUGCUUUUUAUAUCUUGUUAUUCUUGCUUUGAUUGCGGGGUUUUAUAUAUACUGUACACUGAAACUGAAAGAGACACAAUUAUCUGGAGUUGGGAGUUAUGUUUGGAGUUUGAGGAGG
rnacentral:lncRNA from 1 species